rnacentral:rRNA from 1 species
CCUUACCAGGUCUUGACAUCCUCUGACAACCCUAGAGAUAGGGCUUCCCCUUCGGGGGCAGAGUGACAGGUGGUGCAUGGUUGUCGUCAGCUCGUGUCGUGAGAUGUUGGGUUAAGUCCCGCAACGAGCGCAACCCUUGAUCUUAGUUGCCAGCAUUCAGUUGGGCACUCUAAGGUGACUGCCGGUGACAAACCGGAGGAAGGUGGGGAUGACGUCAAAUCAUCAUGCCCCUUAUGACCUUACAAUGGGCAGAACAAAGGGCAGCGAAGCCGCGAGGCUAAGCCAAUCCCACAAAUCUGUUCUCAGUUCGGAUCGCAGUCUGCAACUCGACUGCGUGAAGCUGGAAUCGCUAGUAAUCGCGGAUCAGCAUGCCGCGGUGAAUACGUUCCCGGGUCUUGGU